rnacentral:rRNA from 1 species
GGUUAAUUCGAAGCAACGCGAAGAACCUUACCAGGUCUUGACAUCCCUGACAACCCAAGAGAUUGGGCGUUCCCCUUCGGGGGACAGGGUGACAGGUGGUGCAUGGUUGUCGUCAGCUCGUGUCGUGAGAUGUUGGGUUAAGUCCCGCAACGAGCGCAACCCUCGCCUCUAGUUGCCAGCAUUCGGUUGGGCACUCUAGAGGGACUGCCGGCGACAAGUCGGAGGAAGGUGGGGAUGACGUCAAAUCAUCAUGCCCCUUAUGACCUGGGCUACACACGUGCUACAAUGGGCGGUACAAAGGGCUGCGAACCCGCGAGGGGGAGCGAAUCCCAAAAAGCCAUCCUCAGUUCGGAUUGGAGUCUGCAACUCGACUCCAUGAAGUCGGAAUCGCUAGUAAUCGCGGAUCAGCACGCCGCGGUGAAUACGUUCCCGGGCCUU